rnacentral:tRNA from 1 species
GAGGUUGUAGCUCAGUUGGCUAGAGCAUCGGCUUGUCACGCCGAAGGUCGCGGGUUCAACUCCCGUCAGCCUCG